AAGUUAUUUAGUUUGUUUUGAAAACAAACGUAGACAUUUAGGUCGUAGCUUU
rnacentral:tRNA from 1 species